ACCUGAGUGGUGUGCACGUUGCUGGAGGAAGUCAUUGUCUACCACAGCAGGAAGCUCAAAAUACCUGAGGUCACCUGUUCUGAAGAGCUGCGUCAGCUAUGCUCUUUUUAGCUUGAUCAGCUGCUUCUGCUUCAAACAAACUGCUUGUUCCUAAGGUCCUGCAUCAGCAAUCAGAAGUGGAACACUUGCACCCUCACCCUCAUCAUUGUGCUGAUUAGUUAACCUGCAGUGACAUGAUGAGGAAA